CAGUCGCCACGGUAAUACAGAGGGUGCGAGCGUUAAUCGGAUUUACUGGGCGUAAAGCGUGCGUAGGCGGCUUCUUAAGUCGGAUGUGAAAUCCCUGAGCUUAACUUAGGAAUUGCAUUCGAUACUGGGAAGCUAGAGUAUGGGAGAGGAUGGUAGAAUUCCAGGUGUAGCGGUGAAAUGCGUAGAGAUCUGGAGGAAUACCGAUGGCGAAGGCAGCCAUCUGGCCUAAUACUGACGCUGAGGUACGAAAGCAUGGGGAGCAAACAGGAUUAGAUACCCCCGUAGUCCCUGUCUCUUAUGC
rnacentral:rRNA from 1 species